UAUUGGACAAUGGGGGGAACCCUGAUCCAGCGACGCCGCGUGAGUGAAGAAGUAUUUCGGUAUGUAAAGAUCUAUCAGCAGGGAAGAAAGAAAUGACGGUACAUGACUAAGAAGCCCCGGCUAACUACGUGCCAGCAGCCGCGGUAAUACGUAGGGGGCAAGCGUUAUCCGGAUUUACGGGGUGUAAAGGGAGCGUAGACGGCGAUGCAAGUCUGAAGUGAAAGGCGGGGGCCCAACCCCCGGACUGCUUUGGAAACUGUAUAGCUGAAGUGCAGGAGAGGUAAGUGGAAUUCCUAGUGUAGCGGUGAAAUGCGUAGAUAUUAGGGGGAACACCAGUGGCGAAGGCGGCUUACUGGACUGUAACUGACGUUGAGGCUCGAAAGCGUGGGGGGCA
rnacentral:rRNA from 1 species